GUGGGGAAUAUUGGACAAUGGGCGAAAGCCUGAUCCAGCCAUGUCGCGUGUGUGAAGAAGGUCUUCGGAUUGUAAAGCACUUUAAGUUGGGAGGAAGGGCAGUAAGUUAAUACCUUGCUGUUUUGACGUUACCGACAGAAUAAGCACCGGCUAACUUCGUGCCAGCAGCCGCGGUAAUACGAAGGGUGCAAGCGUUAAUCGGAAUUACUGGGCGUAAAGCGCGCGUAGGUGGUUCGUUAAGUUGGAUGUGAAAGCCCAGGGCUCAACCUUGGAAUUGCUCUUAAUACUGCAAGGCUAGAAUCUCGGAGAGGAUAGCGGAAUUUCCAGUGUAGCAGUGAAAUGCGUAGAUAUUGGAAGGAACACCAGUGGCGUAAGCGGCUAUCUGGACGAGUAUUGACGCUGAGGCACGAAAGCGUGGGGAUCAAACAGGAUUAGAUACCCCUGUAGUCC
rnacentral:rRNA from 1 species